GAUGAACGCUGGCGGCGUGCCUAAUACAUGCAAGUCGAGCGAACAGACGAGGAGCUUGCUCCUUUGACGUUAGCGGCGGACGGGUGAGUAACACGUGGAUAACCUACCUAUAAGACUGGGAUAACUUCGGAAAACCGGAGCUAAUACCGGAUAAUAUCUUGAACCGCAUGGUUCGAUGGUGAAAGACGGCUUUGCGAUCACUUAUAGAUGGACCUGCGCCGUAUUAGCUAGUUGGUACGGUAACGGCUUACCAAGGCAACGAUACGUAGCCGACCUGAGAGGGUGAUCGGCCACACUGGAACUGAGCCACGGUCCAGACUCCUACGGGAGGCAGCAGUAGGGAAUCUUCCGCAAUGGGCGAAAGCCUGACGGAGCAACGCCGCGUGAGUGACGAAGGUCUUCGGAUCGUAAAACUCUGUUAUUAGGGAAGAACAAACGUGUAAGUAACUGUGCACGUCUUGACGGUACCUAAUCAGAAAGCCACGGCUAACUACGUG
rnacentral:rRNA from 1 species